ensembl:lncRNA
UCCCUGAUACCGCCUACGCCCCGCCCCUCGCCGGCCCCGCCCUCGCUCCGCCUGCGCAGGCGCAAUUUCCCGCAAACCCGGAAGCGGAGGGAGGGGCGCAGCCCUUGGUUUUUAUGUCACGACUGGGUAUUUUAGACGCCCCUCACGCCCCGGAUCCGCCACAUCCAAGGUUCAGGGGUCGUCAAUUACGUUAAGAUCCCCUUCAUCCACUCGUCCGCCCUCGGACGAGAAUCCAGACUCCACUGUAGGACUUUACAAAAGGGGGCUCCGGAGGUGGGGUGACCCUCCACAACUGGUCCAAUCUGAGGGAAGAUACAGGCCUUCCCCUCCGAGGCUGACCAGACAUUGUCCUGUCCAGCGAGGUGCUGUGAUGUUGUGGAGGCCACUCCCUGUGAUGACAUCUUAG